GGCUUCACAGCCCAGUUGGUCGAGCAUCGCACCGGUAUCGCGGAGGCCAUGGGUUUGAAUCCCAUUGAAGCCC
rnacentral:tRNA from 1 species